UUCUGAAAGGAAGAUUCUUCAAGAUGGCAUCAUGAGUCCGCAUGUUCACAUGAUUAAAGGUAUUCCGGUAGACGAUGGGGAUGCGUUCCAUUAGAUAGUAGGCGGGGUAACGGCCCACCUAGUCUUCGAUGGAUAGGGGUUCUGAGAGGAAGGUCCCCCACAUUGGAACUGAGACACGGUCCAAACUCCUACGGGAGGCAGCAGUGAGGAAUAUUGGUCAAUGGGCGAGAGCCUGAACCAGCCAAGUAGCGUGAAGGAUGACUGCCCUAUGGGUUGUAAACUUCUUUUAUAAAGGAAUAAAGUCGGGUAUGCAUACCCGUUUGCAUGUACUUUAUGAAUAAGGAUCGGCUAACUCCGUGCCAGCAGCCGCGGUAAUACGGAGGAUCCGAGCGUUAUCCGGAUUUAUUGGGUUUAAAGGGAGCGUAGAUGGAUGUUUAAGUCAGUUGUGAAAGUUUGCGGCUCAACCGUAAAAUUGCAGUUGAUACUGGAUACCUUGAGUGCAGUUGAGGCAGGCGGAAUUCGUGGUGUAGCGGUGAAAUGCUUAGAUAUCACGAAGAACUCCGAUUG
rnacentral:rRNA from 1 species